rfam:Triticum aestivum genome assembly, contig: Triticum_aestivum_CS42_TGACv1_scaffold_643385_T_1BL-0.102019_3DS-0.100103
AUAGUACUCCCUCCGUACAUAAUUACUUGUCGCAGAAAUGAAUAAAAACGAAUGUAUCUAGAACUAAAAUAUAUCUAAAUACAUCCAUCUCUCCAACAAGUAAUUCCAAAUGGAGGGAGUAUUUU